rnacentral:tRNA from 1 species
GGAUCGGUCUCAAAAGAGCACCAGAUUCCUAAUCUGGGGGUCACGCGUUCGAAUCGCGUCGGGAUCACCA